CCUCUCGCCGGGGCAUUUUUUUCUUUCUUUCUUUUUUUGUUUUUUAAUUUUAUUUUAAAGGAGGGGCCGGCACUGAGUUGUGGGCGAGCCUGGGCGGGGCGGACGCCUCCCUGCGCCGCGCCCCGGGAGGUUGGUUCACCUGACCGACCCGUUCCUCGGGCUCCCUCGCCCUCCAGCCUUUACACCCCCUGGGGGAACAGGGCUGGACGCGCGGGCUGUUUUAUUGUAUUUAUUUAUUUUUCCCUCCUGGAGCCUGUGCGUGUUUUAUGUUUUAAUAACUUUAUCAACUCAGUGAACUUGCGCGAGAGCACCGGCGGCUUCUCUCGCCUCCCUCCUUUUCCCCCCUGUCUCUAACUGGCCUCUGGGUCACUUCCAAAAGGGGCUUCCUUCCAAUUCUCCUGGUUAUGGCUUCACCGUUGGCUGGCGUGGUCAGUACGGCAGGCGAAAUUAACCCCACUUACAGAUACCCUGCACAUUUUGCAAGUUCUCUUUAUGAUGACCUGCAUUGGUACCUGUUUUCGCCAACUGGAAGAAAUGUGAAGAGGAUUUUCGCAGUUAGGAAGAAAGACCUUCAUCAAGUCUGCUGCAGUGGAUCAGCUUCAUUCCCCAGGAAUACUAAAGAGCCUUCAUGAGGGUCCUCCAGCGAGUCCUCAAUCUCAGUUCUCACAGACAGAAGACUGAAAUCUGAGAGGCUUAGCGGAAGGAGUUAAGGAGCCCAUCAAGAGGAGGAUGGACAGACCAAAGAAAAUAGCCCGAGGGAACAGACACCUGAGAUACAGCAGCUCCUGUAGCCCCUUGAGAGCAGAUGCCACGUUGACAUUUACAUCCCUAACGAUCAACAUCACAGUUUCUGUAUAACUGGCAUUCGAUUAAAGAUGGGCUUCAGAAGGUCCACAGAGGAUAGUACGAGUUUCCAUAAGGAGUAGAAAACACUGUCGUAAUCAAAGAAGGAAACGAUAACUGUGAUUUCUGAAGAUGCUGA